rnacentral:rRNA from 1 species
AGGAUAAACGCUGGCGGCGUGCCUAACACAUGCAAGUCGAGCGGAAAGGCCCUUCGGGGUACUCGAGCGGCGAACGGGUGAGUAACACGUGAGUAACCUGCCCCAGACUUUGGGAUAACCCUCGGAAACGGGGGCUAAUACCGAAUAUGACUUUGACCCGCAUGGGUUUUUGUGGAAAGUUUUUCGGCUAGGGAUGGACUCGCGGCCUAUCAGCUAGUUGGUGAGGUAACGGCCCACCAAGGCGACGACGGGUAGCC